rnacentral:lncRNA from 1 species
ACUGUAGUCACUCUGGUUGAAAUUGAAGGUUCUCACAGUAAAACUUGUUGAAUUGAGUAAUGGAAGGGAAUGCGAAAAGCGACCAAAUCGUGGAUGUAGGAUCGGUAGUGGAGGCCGUUUCAGUCGAUGACGGUGAUGCUCCUCUCUACAGCCUCGAAAGUCUUUGCAUGCGAUGUGGUGAAAACGUAAGCUUCUCCCCAUUCUCCGCCACCUUUUCCUUUUCCUUUGGCUUUUCAAUGAAUUCACUUUCUACUUUUUCGCGCACCUUUUGCGUGGUUAACUCAGGGAUUAAAUUCUCCAUUCUUUUACUCUCACUAGUGCAGAAAUGUAAAACAACGACCCUUUAUUUAGUGCGGCUUUGCGUUUAAACGCAUUUGUAAAAAACGCGGUGGCAUUUUUGUAAUUAAAUUGAUUUACAAAUGCGGUUCUAGGGUAAGACCGC